ACGUUAGCGGCGGACGGGUGAGUAACACGUGGGUAACCUACCUAUAAGACUGGGAUAACUUCGGGAAACCGGAGCUAAUACCGGAUAAUAUUUCGAACCGCAUGGUUCGAUAGUGAAAGANGGUUUUGCUAUCACUUAUAGAUGGACCUGCGCCGUAUUAGCUAGUUGGUAAGGUAACGGCUUACCAAGGCGACGAUACGUAGCCGACCUGAGAGGGUGAUCGGCCACACUGGAACUGAGACACGGUCCAGACUCCUACGGAGGCAGCAGCU
rnacentral:rRNA from 1 species